UACGUAGGGGGCAAGCGUUGUCCGGAUUUAUUGGGCGUAAAGAGCGUGUAGGCGGUUUGGUAGGUCCGUUGUGAAAACUCGAGGCUCAACCUCGAGACGCCGAUGGAAACCAUCAGACUAGAGUCCGGAAGAGGAGAGUGGAAUUCCUGGUGUAGCGGUGAAAUGCGUAGAGAUGUGGAGGAACACCGAUGGCGAAGGCAGCCUCCUGGGCCAACACUGACGCUCAUGCACGAAAGCGUGGGGAGCAAACAGG
rnacentral:rRNA from 1 species